rnacentral:rRNA from 1 species
GACGAGAAGCUUGCUUCUCUGAUGUUAGCGGCGGACGGGUGAGUAACACGUGGAUAACCUACCUAUAAGACUGGGAUAACUUCGGGAAACCGGAGCUAAUACCGGAUAAUAUUUUGAACCGCAUGGUUCAAAAGUGAAAGACGGUCUUGCUGUCACUUAUAGAUGGAUCCGCGCUGCAUUAGCUAGUUGGUAAGGUAACGGCUUACCAAGGCAACGAUGCAUAGCCGACCUGAGAGGGUGAUCGGCCACACUGGAACUGAGACACGGUCCAGACUCCUACGGGAGGCAGCAGUAGGGAAUCUUCCGCAAUGGGCGAAAGCCUGACGGAGCAACGCCGCGUGAGUGAUGAAGGUCUUCGGAUCGUAAAACUCUGUUAUUAGGGAAGAACAUAUGUGUAAGUAACUGUGCACAUCUUGACGGUACCUAAUCGGAAAGCCACGGCUAACUACGUGCCAGCAGCCGCGGUAAUACGUAGGUGGCAAGCGUUAUCCGGAAUUAUUGGGCGUAAAGCGCGCGUAGGCGGUUUUUUAAGUCUGAUGUGAAAGCCCACGGCUCAACCGUGGAGGGUCAUUGGAAACUGGAAAACUUGAGUGCAGAAGAGGAAAGUGGAAUUCCAUGUGUAGCGGUGAAAUGCGCAGAGAUAUGGAGGAACACCAGUGGCGAAGGCGACUUUCUG